AAAACACCGCUUCCUUUCAGAUCACCAAAGUUAAGCAACGUUGAGCCUGGCCAGUACCUAGAUGGGUAACCGCUUGGGAAUACCAAGGGUUGUU